rnacentral:lncRNA from 1 species
UUGAAUCGAAACAAAUCAAUGGCGUCGUCUUCCGAUCUGGAAUCAAAGGCCAAAGAAGCUUUCAUAGAUGACCACUUCGAACUAGCCAUUGACCUCUACUCUCAAGCCAUUGCUCUGUGCCCUAGCAACGCUGACCUCUUCGUUGACCGCGCUCAGGCCAAUAUUAAACUCCAAAGCUUCACUGGUAUCAGAUUAAUUUUUGAUUUUCAUGUUGUGUAUUGAUUUUUUUUUUUUUUUUUUUAUGUACUGAAGUUUACUGUUAUUGUUGUAUUUGGAUAAUUUUGGUAUGUAGAGUGGGAGAAUUUUAUGGGCACAGGUAGAUUGUGCUAAACUUGUUUCGAAUUUCGAUCUUUAGUUUUCGGUUUUUUUUCGAUUUUAGGACCCUAAUCCUAUUGGCUCUGGUGGUUUUAGCCAAUUUUUUUGUUUUAAUCCAAGUUACUAUUGCUUUUGGAUAUACUUGUUGAUGGCAUUGUUAUUAGAAAACCAGUUUUAUGCUCUGCUUGAUUUAAAUGAGUGGAGUCUAUUGCGUGUAGUGCGGAUAUGUAGAUUUGGGAUCAUGGAGUUGGAAUUGAUAAAACUCUUAUCCGAAAAAUAUUUUCUAAUCUGAGUGUAUGGCUUGAAAAGAUUGAUAUGAAUUUUGUUUAUAAGUUAGUUUUAUUAUUGUUGGUGAUCGGAUUCCGUUGAUGUUUGACGUGCAGAUGCUGUUUCUGAUGCAAAUAAAGCAAUCGAGUUGAACCCUGCAAAUACGAAAGCGUAUCUACGUAAAGGGUGAGUUUGUUUUCGAUUGAAUGAUUUUGUUAUGGUUUUUGAAAUAAAUUUAGUUUUUCUCGUACGGAAUAAGGAGAUGCCCCGUGUGCAUUAUGUCCUUUCUCUAAUUAAGUAUAGAAAUCUGAAUAGUUGAUUUAAAGCUUUUCAACAAAAAAGUUUUUUGCAUUUUGUUCGUCUGCUUUGAGACACGGAUUUUUUUAAGGUCUCGAUUAACUUUGUUUUGAUUGUUAGCUUUGACCCAGCAUUGGCUAAAGUAUACUUGAGAUAAUAUUCCAUUUUUAUUCUGAUGGCUCUUUGAAUGCAAAUUUCUUAGUUGUUUAUUUAUGUUCUCGUGACAGUGUGGCGUGUAUCAAUCUCGAAGAAUUCCAAACUGCUAAGACAGCCUUGGAAACUGGUGCUUCUUUGGCACCUGGAGACUCUAGGUUUACUAAUUUGAUCAAAGAAUGUGAAAAGCGCAUAGCAGGUAAUUUGAUUAUUUUCCGUGUUUAGGAUUUGUCGCUUCGAUGUGAUUUGCUGUCUUUUAUCCUCUGCCUUUUUAUACUCUCAACCUUGAUGACGAGCUUAGUUUGCUUGUCAUAAGCGUAAACUGAAAUUUUUAUUUUUAUCUAAUCUUUUUUCUUGGGAUUUUCAUCUUCAAUGUAUCGUCAGUUGCAUGAUUUGUUAUUUCCAUUUGAUUGUUGAAUUUUCUUCGGUAACACUUGCAGUAUCUGAAAUAUAGUUAUGCAAUAUGUCGGGUUCACACAUAACGACUGUGCAAUCAGCUAUAUCUAGAUUUUUGUGAAAUGCUUAAGAAAUGUGAUAAAUUAAUGCAAGUCAAUUGCAGUCUAGUCAGUCAUUCAAUGUGCUAUUACUGUUAGGCUAUGUGCUGAGUUUCCUAACCUUUUCAUACUUGUCUUACAUGUCGGUUUAUUGUUGUGGUGUAUUUCAGAGGAAACUGAAGAGCUAACUAAGCAAUUGGUUGAUAAAGCUCCGACAAAUGUGGUGAACCUGAAUAAUUUGCCUCCAGCAAUUGGUCUGUCGAGCCAAGGGACGACUGUAUCAUCUUCUAAGCCAAAAUACAGGUCAGUAUGAGGGAAAAUCUCGUGCAAGCUAAUGUUUUGCUUAGUAUCAAUUGACAUCAUUAUAUUUUUCGUGGAUGGUACUUUACGCUGUGGGGAAUUAUUUUGUUAUAACUAGUUUCUGAAGUAGGUCGUGUAUGAGUUGUUAUUUUUUGCCUUUUAAAAGUUAUUACAUGCAUAAAUCCUUUUUAUUUGAUGAACCAGACCAAUUUCGUCGAACUUCUCUUACUCUAUUUUUUACUUGACGUGUAUUGCAGGCAUGAAUUUUAUCAGAAACCUGACGAAGUGGUGGUAACAGUUUUCGCAAAGGGCAUACCAGCAAACAACGUUGUGGUUGACUUUGGUGAACAAAUAGUAAGUAGUGCAUGAAUAUAUUGUUCUGAAUUUCACAUCGUUCUUUAGUGACUUGGGCUGAACCGAAACUCCUUUUUCUCUUUUAUUGAUAUUCAGCUUAGCGUUACCAUUGAAGUGCCUGGUGAAGAAGCAUAUCAUUUUCAGCCGCGGUUAUUUGGAAAGGUGAUGUCUAAAAUUAAAAUCCAUUUACUUUGAUUUGGGCACACAGUUCUUUUUGUAUACUUCUUUCCACUAGGAAAGUAAGAAUAUAUCCUGAAUGAGCUAUUUGUGAGUGUUGAAUCUUACUCAGCAAACCUCCUGUUCUUGGUUCUUGCGUAACCUGAUAAUGUGUAAAUACUUCGAAUUUAGUUAACUUUUAGCCAACCAGAAAAAGUGUUUAAUGUGUAAAUACUUCGAAUUUAGUUAACUUUUAGCCAACCAGAAAAAGUGUUAUUACCGGUACGAAAGCAUAAUAUAGGGCAAUAUUUUUUUUUUUUUUUUUUUUUUUUUUUUUAAUGUUUCUUUGCUUCGUAAUUAGCUAGUGCUAGUUGUUUCUUUGUCCACUAUUAGUGUUGCCGAUACAAAAGCGGGUCCUGGUGCAGAUAUUCUACAGUUCAUACUUUUCUUUUGAUAUUCCCGUUUCCGUUGCUUAUUCUGUGUAUUGAUGUUAUAUAUUGACAAACAGAUUGUUCCUGCAAAAUCUCGAUACACCGUCAUGUCUACAAAAAUUGAAAUCCGACUCGCCAAAGCAGACACUUUGCAAUGGGCAUCACUUGAAUUCAAGGCAGAUGUUGCUGUUGUACAGAAAGCGAUUGUAUCAUCAGGUAAGUCGUCUAUUAUAUGCCGAAUACCACCACAUUGAGAUUCGAGCUUAUUUCCCAAGAACUUCCAGUUUUGCUCGUGUUUUCUGAUUUUUUAAUUUUUGUUCAGCAGGCAACAAAAAACCCGCUUAUCCUUCAUCGAAACCGAAAAGAGUAGACUGGGAUAAAUUGGAAGCUCAAAUGAAAAAAGAGGUGUAUAUUUCAUCUCGUUUUCUCUUCUAUCAUUCUCUCCUUUCUGUCAUGUAUAUAUUCCUCGAUUGCAUAACUCUCUCUCUUUCUCUGCAUAUUUAGGAAAAGGAUGAGAAACUCGAUGGUGAUGCAGCUUUGAACAAGUUCUUUAAAGACAUAUACGGUGAUGCUGAUGAGGACACAAAACGAGCCAUGAGCAAGUCUUUCGUAAGAACCGUAAACUCUCUCCCUCUCUCUCUAACUCUCUCUAAUUCUCUCUCUCUCUCUGACAUUUAUGUGGUGGUACAGAUUGAAUCAAACGGAACCGUACUAUCGACAAACUGGAAAGAAGUUGGUGCAAAGAAGGUUGAAGGAAGCGCGCCAGACGGCAUGGAGUUGAAGAAAUGGGAGUACUGAUAGGACGUCUCUUGUCUUUUGAUCGAUCUCAGUCAUAUAUUUGCUUUUUUUUUUUUUUAAUUUUUUUUUUUUGGCACAAGUCAUUUUUUGUGCUGAGGUAUUUUGCCUUGGUUGUUUUUGAACUUGUUCAUACUUUUCUCUUUAGAUCAGAGCAAGUUGACUAUCUUUUAUCUGUUGACUUUUGAUACUCAAAAAUGUUUAUUUCAUUACAGCACUAUGGUUGGAGUGUUUUAUGUUUUUACUAAAUCAUAAUUAAAUAUGUUUUAUUAUUCGAAAAGAAUUCAUAAAAAAUAAGCAGCCAAUAUAACAAAUUCAAUCACGAAGGGAGAAAUCUCUAGCACUUGUUCUUGAUUAUGAUUGUCUUCAAACAUAUUAUAUUAUUUUAGUAUUACUUAAUAAUAUAUUACAUUCCAUGAAGGAUAAUUUAGUCACUUAGAUAGAAGAUUUUACUUGAAACACUUUCUUGAAUGUAAGGGUUUUUAAUUUGCGGCCAUCCUCCUGAAGUAAGAUUUUUUCUGAUAGAAAGAAAAAACCCUCAUGUUUGAGUAAUUACGACAAUUAUUUUUCUCAAGUAUGAAUCUUCUUACACGUCCAUCUAUGUGGUGUUAAAUUCAAUAAAAUCUUUUAGAUUCCGUGUAAUGUUCUAUAGUUUGUAUUCAGUUUUGUGCAAAAAUACAAUUUUUGAUGCACUACAACUUGAUAUGUUUUAAGCCAAGAGACAUAUAUUAUGAUUAUCUUGUUUCAAAAUGUGGAGUUCAAAUGGGGUAAAACGGUAAAAAACUAAAGAAUAUUCAACAUAAUCUAGAAAAUUCUACUAAAUUUGACACAACAAUAAUGAACGUGUAAAAUAUUCAUAGUUGAUGGUGGUUAUAAUUACCAAAACAUGAGGGGUUUUUCGUAAUUCGACCUUACCUCAUCAGUUGGCCGUAAAUUGGGGCAUUUUUUUUUUAUUUUUUUUUUCGAAUUUGAAUUGUUUUCGUAAUUUUUCCCCGAAAAUAAGAAAACAAAUUUAUUUUAAAUCAAAAUUAUUUGUUUAUUUAUUUUCUUUAUUGGGGUUAACAGUUGGGGGAAAACCCCGUCAAGAUCACUCGCCGAUCUUCAAAUUUCUGCUCAAAACAAAUCCGAAGUGAUUACUAAUCAGUGAAUUUCGAUCAUACUCCAACAAGAACAAUGCAAUUCUUCGGUGGCACAGAAAUCAGUCCAUCGCCGCCGGCGCCGACCGCAUCUGGGAACAAUGCCCACAUGCUAUACAUAUUCAACAGAAACGGCGUCGCUUUGCUUUACAGAGAAUGGAAUCGACCCCUCAAAACCCUCAGUCCACAGCAAGAUCACAAGCUAAUGUUUGGUCUCCUCUUCUCUCUCAAAUCCUUAACUGCUAAAAUGGAUCCCACCAGGUAUUCGACGUUAUGCCUCUUCGAAAAAUAUCAAAAUCAGCUCUACCAAAAAAAUAAAUAAAAAUUUGCUCUUUUGAUUGGUUAUUGAUGCGGGUUCCCGUUAUUAACUUUCACAAGCUAGUGAUUCUUUUUUUUUUUUUUUUUUUGGCAGUGCUGAUAAAGGGAAUCUUGGGGUGCCGCAGUUACCUGGGCAAGGAUGUUCUUUUCACAGUUUCAGAACCAAUACUUAUAAAUUGAGUUUCAUGGAGAGUCCAUCUGGGAUUAAGGUUAGCUGUGAUGAUUGGUUAGUUGUGAUGAUUGGUUUUAGUUGGGAUUAAGGUAAGUGGCCUUUUUCUUGAAUUAUGAAAUGCUUGAUUUGGAAACUUGUUACGGCACGAGAUGCAUUAAUGUGUAAAUUUUCUCUAAACUUGUUCCGAUUUUAUGAAUUUGAGUUUUCUGUAGUGAAAUCCCUUAGUUACAUGUCAAAAUGAUUCUCACUGUGAGAUGGGCUUUUUGUUUAAAACAUGAUUCCCCCAGUGCAAAUAGAAGUUUUGUCGCUGUCCUAAUCUUUUAUUACAACAGAAGGAAUCGGUGUUGCAGAAUUUUGCCUUUGAAAUGAAGUCAUUACAGUCGGGGUUGAUUGGGAAAUAAAACUAGGAUAAAGGAUUCAUGUGGAAGCAAAUUUCAUACUGGAGUUUGGUUCUAAGGUUAAUAGAUAAAAGCAGCAUAAACGAGUCCCUAUUGAUUAACUUUAUCAACUGAGUUAAAGAAACAUGAAAUACUACGGUUAUAAGUUGAUGAUGCCGAUGGACUAGGUAUCUUUUCAUUGCAGAACUUGAUGGUAUUAGUUCUGUGCUUUUUUCCAUAAUUUUAACGCACAAUUGGAUUUGUUAUUGAUCAAUCUUUCGAAGAAACAUGGUUACUUUCUUGAAAUACUAUUUCAUCCUUUGACUGAUUCAGAUUAAAAAGCUCUCUUAGGGUGUUUGGGUCGAGGAUAGUGUAGAAACAAGAUUCCUAGUUUGAAUAAUAAACGUUCAAGAGUUCUUAAUGAAUUGUAUUAGUAUGAAUUAAGGAUAAUCCAAAGUUAGUAUAAGGAAAUCAUAAUAUUAUGUUUAUCUGAGUGUACUACUCUUUCUAUCCAGUUCGGGUAUCAUGUAACCAACCAAAUUUCAUUGGCUAAAACACAAUCAGUUUUUACUUUUUAGUUUUUAACAUUCUCUCUUUUCAAUUUAUAAGUUUUUAACGUUCUUUCUUUUGAAUUUUCUGAGUAUCUGCAAUAAUAAGACCAUACAGGUUGGAAAAUCCUCUAAUAUAAUUCUGUGUUAUGAACCCUUAAUAAUUCAAUAAAGGUAAAUGAAUGUCAAUGUCUACAGUUCCUUAUGAUCCUUUCACCAUUCAUUAGUUACUUCUUUCGUUUACUCAUGUCCACAUUGUGUAAUAAAAAUAUCAUUUUGGCGUUUUUAAUAAACUUUUUUUUGUUAUGCAGCUUAUUCUCGUCACUCACCCAAAGACUGGUGAUCUGAGAGACUCUCUCAAGUACAUAUAUAACUUGUACGUUGAGUAUGUUGUCAAGAAUCCACUAUAUUCUCCUGGAACUCCCAUCAGGUGAGUCGUAAUUUUUUGGUUGAGUAUUUAUCUGCAGUUCUCUACAGUUACACACAUCACUAAAAAUUCUUUAAUAUUUUUUGGAUUUCGGGGAUUUUUGGGAUCGGGAUUGAAAUUUUACUUUCCGAAUUCUCUUUAUAUUUACUUAAAAUCUGGUCUUUCGGGAUCUCCGAGAAACCCCGGAAUUCUGGGAUAUGGAACGGGAAAUCCCGAAAUAUUAUUUUUCCGGCAAAACAAAAAAAAAACAGACUAACAUCAUCAGUCUUAACCAUAAUAUUAAAUGGCUAAUUUUCAUUUUGAUUAGCUUCAGAAUCUCAUUUCCCAAACAAAUCCACUCUACUAAUUUUCAUCAGCAUUCUCGCUAAGAUUUGUACUGAAUCCCUCUCGAAUCUCGAUACAUGUUCAGCACUAAACUAAUGUUUAGUGCAUUAAACUAUUGUUGUUAUUAGCUUUCUUAUUUAUAAUAUUAUUAGCAAUCUACAAUUAUUACCAUUGUUGUUUUGUUAAUCAAGAUAAUAGUACAUUACUACUAACUUUCUCACUAUUAUUACUAAAAAAAAAUAUACAUUUUUACUAAAAAUUGAAAUCAAGGGGAAAAAACACCGUGCAAGCUUUCUUAUCUCGACCUCUAAAAAGGGUUACAUUGUCUCGACUUCUGAGUAUGUAUAUUUUUAUAAUGCUUCGGAACUACGUAACUUAGUUGAUGCUAAGUCGGUUUUGUCUGAUGUUGUUUGUGCAGUUGUGAGCUAUUCAAUAAAACUGUUGAUCAGUAUGUGAGAGGCCUCGGCUAAUAUGGUACGUUUAUCGUCUCGAUUCUUGAUAUUAUAACUACAAUUUUGUAUUUUUUUUAGCAAUAUUCAAAUCCUUUACAAACUGGGGAAGCAUCGGUGCAGUAGGAUUAGAACCCUAGAUGUGAUAAUUAUGAAAAUAAAAUUUUCAAACUAAAAUUAAUUUUAAAAAAAUUAAAAAAAUCGUGACAUUGAUAUUACUAUAAUUUAGCAUAACUAGAAUUUGUAAUUAAUUAAUUAAAUCAAUUAAUUAAUUAAUUGUAUUAUUGCAUUCUCAUUCCCUUUUCAUAGUCCUUUUCCAAAUAGAACAAGGCAUUCUUUUUUUUUUUAUCUUCCUUAUUAAAAAAAAAAAAAAAAACUCUCUCUCUCUAUAUAUAAAUAUAUCUUGAUUUACUUCGCCCCUUCUCAAUACUCUCUGCUUUUCAAUUCCAACGUGUCUCCAGAAAGUUCCAAUCGUUACAUACAAAAGAAAAAUCACACACACAAACACACAAUCCGCAGUGUUUGAUUGAGUUGAAUCGAAACAAAUCAAUGGCGUCGUCUUCCGAUCUGGAAUCAAAGGCCAAAGAAGCUUUCGUAGAUGACCACUUCGAACUAGCCAUUGACCUCUACUCUCAAGCCAUUGCUCUGUGCCCUAGCAACGCUGACCUCUUCGUUGACCGCGCUCAGGCCAAUAUUAAACUCCAAAGCUUCACUGGUAUCAGAUUAAUUUUUGAUUUUCAUGUUGUGUAUUGAUUUUUUUUUUUUUUUUUUUAUGUACUGAAGUUUACUGUUAUUGUUGUAUUUGGAUAAUUUUGGUAUGUAGAGUGGGAGAAUUUUAUGGGCACAGGUAGAUUGUGCUAAACUUGUUUCGAAUUUCGAUCUUUAGUUUUCGGUUUUUUUUCGAUUUUAGGACCCUAAUCCUAUUGGCUCUGGUGGUUUUAGCCAAUUUUUUUGUUUUAAUCCAAGUUACUAUUGCUUUUGGAUAUACUUGUUGAUGGCAUUGUUAUUAGAAAACCAGUUUUAUGCUCUGCUUGAUUUAAAUGAGUGGAGUCUAUUGCGUGUAGUGCGGAUAUGUAGAUUUGGGAUCAUGGAGUUGGAAUUGAUAAAACUCUUAUCCGAAAAAUAUUUUCUAAUCUGAGUGUAUGGCUUGAAAAGAUUGAUAUGAAUUUUGUUUAUAAGUUAGUUUUAUUAUUGUUGGUGAACGGAUUCCGUUGAUGUUUGACGUGCAGAUGCUGUUUCUGAUGCAAAUAAAGCAAUCGAGUUGAACCCUGCAAAUACGAAAGCGUAUCUACGUAAAGGGUGAGUUUGUUUUCGAUUGAAUGAUUUUGUUAUGGUUUUUGAAAUAAAUUUAGUUUUUCUCGUACGGAAUAAGGAGAUGCCCCGUGUGCAUUAUGUCCUUUCUCUAAUUAAGUAUAGAAAUCUGAAUAGUUGAUUUAAAGCUUUUCAACAAAAAAGUUUUUUGCAUUUUGUUCGUCUGCUUUGAGACACGGAUUUUUUUAAGGUCUCGAUUAACUUUGUUUUGAUUGUUAGCUUUGACCCAGCAUUGGCUAAAGUAUACUUAAGAUAAUAUUCCAUUUUUAUUCUGAUGGCUCUUUGAAUGCAAAUUUCUUAGUUGUUUAUUUAUGUUCUCGUGACAGUGUGGCGUGUAUCAAUCUCGAAGAAUUCCAAACUGCUAAGACAGCCUUGGAAACUGGUGCUUCUUUGGCACCUGGAGACUCUAGGUUUACUAAUUUGAUCAAAGAAUGUGAAAAGCGCAUAGCAGGUAAUUUGAUUAUUUUCCGUGUUUAGGAUUUGUCGCUUCGAUGUGAUUUGCUGUCUUUUAUCCUCUGCCUUUUUAUACUCUCAACCUUGAUGACGAGCUUAGUUUGCUUGUCAUAAGCGUAAACUGAAAUUUUUAUUUUUAUCUAAUCUUUUUUCUUGGGAUUUUCAUCUUCAAUGUAUCGUCAGUUGCAUGAUUUGUUAUUUCCAUUUGAUUGUUGAAUUUUCUUCGGUAACACUUGCAGUAUCUGAAAUAUAGUUAUGCAAUAUGUCGGGUUCACACAUAACGACUGUGCAAUCAGCUAUAUCUAGAUUUUUGUGAAAUGCUUAAGAAAUGUGAUAAAUUAAUGCAAGUCAAUUGCAGUCUAGUCAGUCAUUCAAUGUGCUAUUACUGUUAGGCUAUGUGCUGAGUUUCCUAACCUUUUCAUACUUGUCUUACAUGUCGGUUUAUUGUUGUGGUGUAUUUCAGAGGAAACUGAAGAGCUAACUAAGCAAUUGGUUGAUAAAGCUCCGACAAAUGUGGUGAACCUGAAUAAUUUGCCUCCAGCAAUUGGUCUGUCGAGCCAAGGGACGACUGUAUCAUCUUCUAAGCCAAAAUACAGGUCAGUAUGAGGGAAAAUCUCGUGCAAGCUAAUGUUUUGCUUAGUAUCAAUUGACAUCAUUAUAUUUUUCGUGGAUGGUACUUUACGCUGUGGGGAAUUAUUUUGUUAUAACUAGUUUCUGAAGUAGGUCGUGUAUGAGUUGUUAUUUUUUGCCUUUUAAAAGUUAUUACAUGCAUAAAUCCUUUUUAUUUGAUGAACCAGACCAAUUUCGUCGAACUUCUCUUACUCUAUUUUUUACUUGACGUGUAUUGCAGGCAUGAAUUUUAUCAGAAACCUGACGAAGUGGUGGUAACAGUUUUCGCAAAGGGCAUACCGGCAAACAACGUUGUGGUUGACUUUGGUGAACAAAUAGUAAGUAGUGCAUGACUAUAUUGUUCUGAAUUUCACAUCGUUCUUUAGUGACUUGGGCUGAACCGAAACUCCUUUUUCUCUUUUAUUGAUAUUCAGCUUAGCGUUACCAUUGAAGUGCCUGGUGAAGAAGCAUAUCAUUUUCAGCCGCGGUUAUUUGGAAAGGUGAUGUCUAAAAUUAAAAUCCAUAUACUUUGAUUUGGGCACACAGUUCUUUUUGUAUACUUCUUUCCACUAGGAAAGUAAGAAUAUAUCCUGAAUGAGCUAUUUGUGAGUGUUGAAUCUUACUCAGCAAACCUCCUGUUCUUGGUUCUUGCGUAACCUGAUAAUGUGUAAAUACUUCGAAUUUAGUUAACUUUUAGCCAACCAGAAAAAGUGUUUAAUGUGUAAAUACUUCGAAUUUAGUUAACUUUUAGCCAACCAGAAAAAGUGUUAUUACCGGUACGAAAGCAUAAUAUAGGGCAAUAUUUUUUUUUUUUUUUUUUUUUUUUUUUAAUGUUUCUUUGCUUCGUAAUUAGCUAGUGCUAGUUGUUUCUUUGUCCACUAUUAGUGUUGCCGAUACAAAAGCGGGUCCUGGUGCAGAUAUUCUACAGUUCAUACUUUUCUUUUGAUAUUCCCGUUUCCGUUGCUUAUUCUGUGUAUUGAUGUUAUAUAUUGACAAACAGAUUGUUCCUGCAAAAUCUCGAUACACCGUCAUGUCUACAAAAAUUGAAAUCCGACUCGCCAAAGCAGACACUUUGCAAUGGGCAUCACUUGAAUUCAAGGCAGAUGUUGCUGUUGUACAGAAAGCGAUUGUAUCAUCAGGUAAGUCGUCUAUUAUAUGCCGAAUACCACCACAUUGAGAUUCGAGCUUAUUUCCCAAGAACUUCCAGUUUUGCUCGUGUUUUCUGAUUUUUUAAUUUUUGUUCAGCAGGCAACAAAAAACCCGCUUAUCCUUCAUCGAAACCGAAAAGAGUAGACUGGGAUAAAUUGGAAGCUCAAAUGAAAAAAGAGGUGUAUAUUUCAUCUCGUUUUCUCUUCUAUCAUUCUCUCCUUUCUGUCAUGUAUAUAUUCCUCGAUUGCAUAACUCUCUCUCUUUCUCUGCAUAUUUAGGAAAAGGAUGAGAAACUCGAUGGUGAUGCAGCUUUGAACAAGUUCUUUAAAGACAUAUACGGUGAUGCUGAUGAGGACACAAAACGAGCCAUGAGCAAGUCUUUCGUAAGAACCGUAAACUCUCUCCCUCUCUCUCUAACUCUCUCUAAUUCUCUCUCUCUCUCUGACAUUUAUGUGGUGGUACAGAUUGAAUCAAACGGAACCGUACUAUCGACAAACUGGAAAGAAGUUGGUGCAAAGAAGGUUGAAGGAAGCGCGCCAGACGGCAUGGAGUUGAAGAAAUGGGAGUACUGAUAGGACGUCUCUUGUCUUUUGAUCGAUCUCAGUCAUAUAUUUGCUUUUUUUUUUUUUUUAAUUUUUUUUUUUUGGCACAAGUCAUUUUUUGUGCUGAGGUAUUUUGCCUUGGUUGUUUUUGAACUUGUUCAUACUUUUCUCUUUAGAUCAGAGCAAGUUGACUAUCUUUUAUCUGUUGACUUUUGAUACUCAAAAAUGUUUAUUUCAUUACAGCACUAUGGUUGGAGUGUUUUAUGUUUUUACUAAAUCAUAAUUAAAUAUGUUUUAUUAUUCGAAAAGAAUUCAUAAAAAAUAAGCAGCCAAUAUAACAAAUUCAAUCACGAAGGGAGAAAUCUCUAGCACUUGUUCUUGAUUAUGAUUGUCUUCAAACAUAUUAUAUUAUUUUAGUAUUACUUAAUAAUAUAUUACAUUCCAUGAAGGAUAAUUUAGUCACUUAGAUAGAAGAUUUUACUUGAAACACUUUCUUGAAUGUAAGGGUUUUUAAUUUGCGGCCAUCCUCCUGAAGUAAGGUUUUUUCUGAUAGAAAGAAAAAACCCUCAUGUUUGAGUAAUUACGACAAUUAUUUUUCUCAAGUAUGAAUCUUCUUACACGUCCAUCUAUGUGGUGUUAAAUUCAAUAAAAUCUUUUAGAUUCCGUGUAAUGUUCUAUAGUUUGUAUUCAGUUUUGUGCAAAAAUACAAUUUUUGAUGCACUACAACUUGAUAUGUUUUAAGCCAAGAGACAUAUAUUAUGAUUAUCUUGUUUCAAAAUGUGGAGUUCAAAUGGGGUAAAACGGUAAAAAACUAAAGAAUAUUCAACAUAAUCUAGAAAAUUCUACUAAAUUUGACACAACAAUAAUGAACGUGUAAAAUAUUCAUAGUUGAUGGUGGUUAUAAUUACCAAAACAUGAGGGGUUUUUCGUAAUUCGACCUUACCUCAUCAGUUGGCCGUAAAUUGGGGCAUUUUUUUUUUAUUUUUUUUUUCGAAUUUGAAUUGUUUUCGUAAUUUUUCCCCGAAAAUAAGAAAACAAAUUUAUUUUAAAUCAAAAUUAUUUGUUUAUUUAUUUUCUUUAUUGGGGUUAACAGUUCAAGAUCACUCGCCGAUCUUCAAAUUUCUGCUCAAAACAAAUCCGAAGUGAUUACUAAUCAGUGAAUUUCGAUCAUACUCCAACAAGAACAAUGCAAUUCUUCGGUGGCACAGAAAUCAGUCCAUCGCCGCCGGCGCCGACCGCAUCUGGGAACAAUGCCCACAUGCUAUACAUAUUCAACAGAAACGGCGUCGCUUUGCUUUACAGAGAAUGGAAUCGACCCCUCAAAACCCUCAGUCCACAGCAAGAUCACAAGCUAAUGUUUGGUCUCCUCUUCUCUCUCAAAUCCUUAACUGCUAAAAUGGAUCCCACCAGGUAUUCGACGUUAUGCCUCUUCGAAAAAUAUCAAAAUCAGCUCUACCAAAAAAAUAAAUAAAAAUUUGCUCUUUUGAUUGGUUAUUGAUGCGGGUUCCCGUUAUUAACUUUCACAAGCUAGUGAUUCUUUUUUUUUUUUCUUUUUUGGCAGUGCUGAUAAAGGGAAUCUUGGGGUGCCGCAGUUACCUGGGCAAGGAUGUUCUUUUCACAGCCGCAGUUACCAGGGCAAGGAUGUUCUUUUCACAGUUUCAGAACCAAUACUUAUAAAUUGAGUUUCAUGGAGAGUCCAUCUGGGAUUAAGGUUAGUUGUGAUGAUUGGUUUUAGUUGGGAUUAAGGUAAGUGGCCUUUUUCUUGAAUUAUGAAAUGCUUGAUUUGGAAACUUGUUACGGCACGAGAUGCAUUAAUGUGUAAAUUUUCUCUAAACUUGUUCCGAUUUUAUGAAUUUGAGUUUUCUGUAGUGAAAUCCCUUAGUUACAUGUCAAAAUGAUUCUCACUGUGAGAUGGGCUUUUUGUUUAAAACAUGAUUCCCCCAGUGCAAAUAGAAGUUUUGUCGCUGUCCUAAUCUUUUAUUACAACAGAAGGAAUCGGUGUUGCAGAAUUUUGCCUUUGAAAUGAAGUCAUUACAGUCGGGGUUGAUUGGGAAAUAAAACUAGGAUAAAGGAUUCAUGUGGAAGCAAAUUUCAUACUGGAGUUUGGUUCUAAGGUUAAUAGAUAAAAGCAGCAUAAACGAGUCCCUAUUGAUUAACUUUAUCAACUGAGUUAAAGAAACAUGAAAUACUACGGUUAUAAGUUGAUGAUGCCGAUGGACUAGGUAUCUUUUCAUUGCAGAACUUGAUGGUAUUAGUUCUGUGCUUUUUUCCAUAAUUUUAACGCACAAUUGGAUUUGUUAUUGAUCAAUCUUUCGAAGAAACAUGGUUACUUUCUUGAAAUACUAUUUCAUCCUUUGACUGAUUCAGAUUAAAAAGCUCUCUUAGGGUGUUUGGGUCGAGGAUAGUGUAGAAACAAGAUUCCUAGUUUGAAUAAUAAACGUUCAAGAGUUCUUAAUGAAUUGUAUUAGUAUGAAUUAAGGAUAAUCCAAAGUUAGUAUAAGGAAAUCAUAAUAUUAUGUUUAUCUGAGUGUACUACUCUUUCUAUCCAGUUCGGGUAUCAUGUAACCAACCAAAUUUCAUUGGCUAAAACACAAUCAGUUUUUACUUUUUAGUUUUUAACAUUCUCUCUUUUCAAUUUAUAAGUUUUUAACGUUCUUUCUUUUGAAUUUUCUGAGUAUCUGCAAUAAUAAGACCAUACAGGUUGGAAAAUCCUCUAAUAUAAUUCUGUGUUAUGAACCCUUAAUAAUUCAAUAAAGCUAAAUGAAUGUCAAUGUCUACAGUUCCUUAUGAUCCUUUCACCAUUCAUUAGUUACUUCUUUCGUUUACUCAUGUCCACAUUGUGUAAUAAAAAUAUCAUUUUGGCGUUUUUAAUAAACUUUUUUUUGUUAUGCAGCUUAUUCUCGUCACUCACCCAAAGACUGGUGAUCUGAGAGACUCUCUCAAGUACAUAUAUAACUUGUACGUUGAGUAUGUUGUCAAGAAUCCACUAUAUUCUCCUGGAACUCCCAUCAGGUGAGUCGUAAUUUUUUGGUUGAGUAUUUAUCUGCAGUUCUCUACAGUUACACACAUCACUAAAAAUUCUUUAAUAUUUUUUGGAUUUCGGGGAUUUUUGGGAUCGGGAUUGAAAUUUUACUUUCCGAAUUCUCUUUAUAUUUACUUAAAAUCUGGUCUUUCGGGAUCUCCGAGAAACCCCGGAAUUCUGGGAUAUGGAACGGGAAAUCCCGAAAUAUUAUUUUUCCGGCAAAACAAAAAAAAAACAGACUAACAUCAUCAGUCUUAACCAUAAUAUUAAAUGGCUAAUUUUCAUUUUGAUUAGCUUCAGAAUCUCAUUUCCCAAACAAAUCCACUCUACUAAUUUUCAUCAGCAUUCUCGCUAAGAUUUGUACUGAAUCCCUCUCGAAUCUCGAUACAUGUUCAGCACUAAACUAAUGUUUAGUGCAUUAAACUAUUGUUGUUAUUAGCUUUCUUAUUUAUAAUAUUAUUAGCAAUCUACAAUUAUUACCAUUGUUGUUUUGUUAAUCAAGAUAAUAGUACAUUACUACUAACUUUCUCACUAUUAUUACUAAAAAAAAAUAUACAUUUUUACUAAAAAUUGAAAUCAAGGGGAAAAAACACCGUGCAAGCUUUCUUAUCUCGACCUCUAAAAAGGGUUACAUUGUCUCGACUUCUGAGUAUGUAUAUUUUUAUAAUGCUUCGGAACUACGUAACUUAGUUGAUGCUAAGUCGGUUUUGUCUGAUGUUGUUUGUGCAGUUGUGAGCUAUUCAAUAAAACUGUUGAUCAGUAUGUGAGAGGCCUCGGCUAAUAUGGUACGUUUAUCGUCUCGAUUCUUGAUAUUAUAACUACAAUUUUGUAUUUUUUUUAGCAAUAUUCAAAUCCUUUACAAACUGGGGAAGCAUCGGUGCAGUAGGAUUAGAACCCUAGAUGUGAUAAUUAUGAAAAUAAAAUUUUCAAACUAAAAUUAAUUUAAAAAAAAUUAAAAAAAUCGUGACAUUGAUAUUACUAUAAUUUAGCAUAACUAGAAUUUGUAAUUAAUUAAUUAAAUCAAUUAAUUAAUUAAUUGUAUUAUUGCAUUCUCAUUCCCUUUUCAUAGUCCUUUUCCAAAUAGAACAAGGCAUUCUUUUUUUUUUAUCUUCCUUAUUAAAAAAAAAAAAAAAAAACUCUCUCUCUCUAUAUAUAAAUAUAUCUUGAUUUACUUCGCCCCUUCUCAAUACUCUCUGCUUUUCAAUUCCAACGUGUCUCCAGAAAGUUCCAAUCGUUACGUACAAAAGAAAAAUCACACACACAAACACACAAUCCGCAGUGUUUGAUUGAGUUGAAUCGAAACAAAUCAAUGGCGUCGUCUUCCGAUCUGGAAUCAAAGGCCAAAGAAGCUUUCGUAGAUGACCACUUCGAACUAGCCAUUGACCUCUACUCUCAAGCCAUUGCUCUGUGCCCUAGCAACGCUGACCUCUUCGUUGACCGCGCUCAGGCCAAUAUUAAACUCCAAAGCUUCACUGGUAUCAGAUUAAUUUUUGAUUUUCAUGUUGUGUAUUGAUUUUUUUUUUUUUUUUUUUAUGUACUGAAGUUUACUGUUAUUGUUGUAUUUGGAUAAUUUUGGUAUGUAGAGUGGGAGAAUUUUAUGGGCACAGGUAGAUUGUGCUAAACUUGUUUCGAAUUUCGAUCUUUAGUUUUCGGUUUUUUUUCGAUUUUAGGACCCUAAUCCUAUUGGCUCUGGUGGUUUUAGCCAAUUUUUUUGUUUUAAUCCAAGUUACUAUUGCUUUUGGAUAUACUUGUUGAUGGCAUUGUUAUUAGAAAACCAGUUUUAUGCUCUGCUUGAUUUAAAUGAGUGGAGUCUAUUGCGUGUAGUGCGGAUAUGUAGAUUUGGG